AGUGAACGCUGGCGGUAGGCCUAACACAUGCAAGUCGAACGGCAGCACAGGAGAGCUUGCUCUCUGGGUGGCGAGUGGCGGACGGGUGAGGAAUACAUCGGAAUCUACUCUGUCGUGGGGGAUAACGUAGGGAAACUUACGCUAAUACCGCAUACGACCUACGGGUGAAAGCAGGGGAUCUUCGGACCUUGCGCGAUUGAAUGAGCCGAUGUCGGAUUAGCUAGUUGGCGGGGUAAAGGCCCACCAAGGCGACGAUCCGUAGCUGGUCUGAGAGGGUGAUCAGCCACACUGGAACUGCGACACGGUCCAGACUCCUUCGGGAGGCAGCAGUGGGGAAUAUUGGACAAUGGGCGCAAGCCUGAUCCAGCCAUACCGCGUGGGUGAAGAAGGCCUUCGGGUUGUAAAGCCCUUUUGUUGGGAAAGAAAUCCAUCUGGUUAAUACCCGGGUGGGAUGACGGUACCCAAAGAAUAAGCACCGGCUAACUUCGUGCCAGCCGCCGCGGUAA
rnacentral:rRNA from 1 species